UCUAUUCCUCCACCAACCCCUUUAUACACCCCAUCUGAAACCCCUCCUUCAACGACCAGAUCAUCUCAACCACUCCCAAAAUUUAACCUCGCCAAUACCUCCUUACCCAUAUCGAAAGCUGAACAAAUGAAUGAAACCACCUCCUCAUCUUCAGCCUCAGAAUCACCCCCUUUCUGUAUCAUCUCAUCUGACACAGAAUUCUCUGACCCCGCUUCUCCCACUCUAGCCCAACUUCAGACACAAAACCUUGCCUCCCAACAAC
rnacentral:lncRNA from 1 species